CCCUUAGAUGUUCUGGGCCGCACGCGCGCUACACUGAUGAACGCAACGAGACCACCUGUACCGAAAGGCAUGGGUAAACUUGUGAAAGUUCAUCGUGAUGGGGAUAGAUUAUUGCAAUUAUUAAUCUUCAACGAGGAAUACCUUGUAAGCGCGGGUCAUCAUCCCGCGCUGAAUACGUCCCUGCCCUUUGUACACACCGCCCGUCGCUCCUACCGAUUGAGUGGUCCGGUGAGGCUUUGGGAUCUGAGCGGAAAGAGCGUUUCGCUGUUUCUGCUCGGAAAACUCAGUCGAACCUUAUCAUUUAGAGGAAGGAGAAGUCGUAACA
rnacentral:rRNA from 1 species